UCUUUUUAGAGCUAUGGUUUAGAAGAUUUUAGUUUUGGUGAAAUAGAUCCAGACUUGGCAACUUAUUUCUACUUAAGGUGGUGCGCACAAUGUAGUUUAAAGACCAAAUUAAUUCAUUCUGCUUUUAAUUGUUAAGAAGUAUUCUACGUUGUUAUAUUUCUAGGUAAGUGCACACAAGCUUAUAGUCUCAAGUAAAGUUGUGAACAUUUUGAAUCAAUCAAUUUAAUCCAUUGAUUUUGGUUUAACAUUUUCCAUGACUUCAAGUAAUUUUAUAUAGUUAUGUUCUUAGCCUAUUCGGUGUAGAUGUAUUUCUAAAGUAGAUUUAUGUUCUAGUUCUAAAAUGAACACAUUCCAUUGGAAGUCAACUCAAGGUUGUGGACUUGAACUUAUUGCAUGGACUUGAAACUUUCAUGUUCAGAAACUCUUGCAUUGCCAUGGAAACUUUGUAUGUGUAUCUCUCUAUGUGUAACUUCCUGUAAUUAUGUCACUUAAUAGUAAUCUUUGACCAAAACUUUUAUCAAUGUCGCUACGUUCUUCUGCCAACUAUGUAAAUGCUGCUUUUUUUUCUACUUUACAUUAUGCUAAUAGAAAAUGUUCCUGACAGUGUCGGACUCCAAUUUUUAAGAUUCUAAUUUGGUCUAAAACUGUUUUCAUAAAAUAAAAUUGUCUAAAUAGUAAGAAAUUAAAUUGCUUAUUAUUUGAAAAAAAAUAAUAAAAUUAUUUGCUAACUAUUUUACAUCCUUUAUUUCUGUUUUGUUUUUUUUAAUCUGCAAUUUAAUGUUAUGAAUGUGAUUAAGUCCUCAUGGCGCAGUAUAUUGCAUGAAGGGCAUAGCAGCUUCAAAUUGUCUCCCUUGAAAAUAGAUCAUUUUGAUUGGAUGAAUCCUGUGGCGGGUACACCAACUAAAUUUAACUGCACUGAGCUGCAGUCCCUGUGCGCUCCACUUCCAAUGUGUGUGUGUGUGUGUGUUUACCACGCGCAAUGCAAAACAAGAUGAGUUGGUGAACGAAUGUGUGGUAUUCACUGAGCUCAAUUAAAGUUUUUGGUCACAUCACAAGUGAGGGGACACAACUUGGUCUACUUUAACUAGAAUUUUCCUGCUAGAUUAUAUUUUUUAUUUGAUCUAGACUUUGUAUUUUUAAACUAAAUUUUACAAAUAUAUAUAAUUUUCAUAAAUUAAAAAAAAAUUUAAUGUAAUACAUAUAACUUAUGAUAGUUGACAUUCGUUCAGGUCAUGUUUAAAUGUUGUUGUAAUCCUUAAAGAUCCAAGAUGAUUAAACGUAGUCCCAGUUUACUUACACAAUAGUUGCAAAUCAAACUCUAGACACAAAAAGUUGUCUCGUUAAUGAUGUCACUAGGUCUACACAAGUUUUUUAAUAACAUAAAGCUGAUUGAUUCAUUAAAACAUUGCUUAAUAUCUAAUUUAUUUAAAUUGCAUUAUAAUUUAUGAAGCUCUUUUCUGUUCAGCUAAUUAGAUUGUUUGUAUAAGCAUUUCAUUACAUUCAUCUUAGUCAGUACAUCUACACAGUUAAGCUCAAACUCUCUCUCCUUCUCUCUCUCUCCUUCUCUCUCUCUCCUUCUCUCUCUCUCUCUCUCUCCUUCUCUCUCUCUGUGUGUUUGUGUUUUAUAACAACUUUGUGUGUGAGUUAGUUUUGAAUUAUCCUAACCUUAUAUGCUGUUAUUACGAAUGGGUAUGAUUUCUUAAUUUGUAUUGUCUUAUAUUAUCUUGUAUAAUCCUGUAACUUUUCCAAUUUUGAAUAAAUUUAAAAUUGUUUCAUCUUAUUAAUUUUGUGGUUAGUUUGGUCCAAUUUGAAAUGUAGCGACCAUAUUAAAAGAUGUAUCUGUAAUUGUAAGCUCAAGAUGAAAAGAUAGCCGAGCCGAUGUUGGUCAUUGUGAAUUCGUUGCCAAGUUGAUUUGGGUCCCUUCAGACGUGCUCUCGGAUCAGUGCAGGACAGGUCAGGGGUCAUCUCACAGUCUGUUUCAACCUUUUGUUUGAAGACGCCCAUGCGAAGUGUGUUAAAAAGCUAGUGAAAACAAAUUUUAAUUCUUUCAAAAGAGAUGCCGAUACUGUGUGGAUACAUUACAUUCGUUGUACUUUCUCAAUCCUAUUAUUCUUCGACGUAAAUGUGAUUACACUUUUACUAUUUUUUUCAUUAUUACAUGUGUGGUAUUGUUGUUGGUUUUGGAAAGGGGAGGGGGGGGGUUACCGUUUAUAAAAUAAAAACAAUUGGACUGGAGAGUCUGCUUAUACAAAUAGUGUCACGUCACAUGCAGUAUAGGUUUUAAGUUAUCAACUUUCUGAAGUACAAAAAGAAAUCGCCAUGAUGAACAGAUUAUGUCUAGUCUCAAAUCUAAAGGUGAUCUCACUUUUGUGUUGUAAACUUUCUGUAGUCAAAACAUAUCUCCGUUCUACAACACUCAUAGAGCGAUUGUUUUUCUCUCCAUAACUAUUGAAUAGAAGAUUAAUAAACAAUGUCACGCAACCAAUGUUAGAUCUAGAUGUAGACCUAGUUCUUUAGCCAAAUUUUAUUUUAUUUCUUUUUUUAAUUUGAAAAAUGAUAACGUUCGAACUAGAGUUCUCCCAGUGUGGCCAACGAGCUAGUCAUUCUUUUUUCAGUGCUAUACAUCAACUGUUCAAUUUAUUUGAAAAAUUGUUAGAGCCGUUUUUGAUAGCCGUUCUUAGGUUCCUUCACCUAAGAAGAUGUUACUUGAAUAGAGGCAUUGUAAAAAAAAAUGCUAAGAUCAUGUCUAUUCUAAAGAUGAUUUCACUUUUAAGUUCACUGUAUACACUAAAAUAAAAGGCAAGCCAACAUUAUAAGUCAAUACAUAGAGACAGGGCCGGCCUUAGGCCACUGCAACCUAUGCGACCGCAGUGGGUCCCCGCACUUUCAUAGGCCCCGCGCUAACUCUAGUUGUAAAUUAUUAAAUUAAAACAUUAUAACUUAUAACACUAAUAACAGGUUUCCCGCAGCCUCUUGAUUCUCUAGGAGCUCCUGAAAAUCUCUAGGAAUUAUUAAAAUCUAUUGGAAACGCAUAAAAAUCUUCUGAAAAAUAGACAAAAUUGAUAUCUUUAAGGCAUAUUCUACCGCCAAAACCCCGGUAAAAAUUUUAGCUUAUCUGUCCACUAAUGAAAGAUGCACUACUUUUCCAAACUACUUUGUUGCAACUCAGACUAUUUUUAACAAUACCUGUAGCUGUGACAUCUGGUGAAAGAAGCUUCUCGCGCCUCCAACUUAAAGAAUUACUUGAGAUCAACAAUUCACGAAGAUAGAUUGAACAAUGUGGCAAAUCUUGCUAUUGAGCGUGAUCUAUGUAGGAAACAGAAUUUUGAUGAUAUACUGUAUGUAUUUAGUAAAGAAUGAAUCAAAUGUAAAGACGAAUUUAUUUUCUAGUACAAAAUCUUAAUUAUCACUUAUUAUCCUUAUCCCUACCCAGACUGGUCCUUACGUAAUCCGUUUCGCAUAAGGCCCCGCAAUUGUUAGGACCGGCCCUGCAUAGAGAUGAUGGGUUAAAUUUGGACAAGACGGUUUCGAAUCUCUUUGAACUAAAGUCUAGAAAUAAUCAAAAUAUUUACAAAUUCUUUAAAUAAAAACAUAGCUUAUUUAAGGAGGGGGACUCUGCACAUACAACUAUAUCACUCAAGUAUGAAGAAGUUAUUUCCCUUUUUGAUAUCAAACAAAAUAACUAAUUACCAAUAACCAAUCAACUAAUUGGUAAUUGUUUUAUUGACUCAUGUUUUGUUAGGUACAACAAAUAAUUGUUUCAAAUUGAUCGGAUAAUAUGUGUGGGAGAAAUAAUGUGUACAAUUAUUUAAGGGGACAAAACCCGACAUAUUUAACCAUAACUGUGAAUACUGAAGAAUUAAUUUCUCUUGUUGGUAUCAAACAAAAUAAUUAAUAACCGUAAUUAAAUACUAAUUGGUUACGUUUUUUAUUGAUUUAUGUAUUGUCUACGGCAAUGAAUAAUUGUGCAAACUUUUUACCAGACGGACAGAAAAACAGACCAAAGUGAGUAGAUAGAAGUUUUGUAAUAAUUUUUUAUUAGCUUAUAAAAAUUAAAGGCGCCUUUAGUCGAUUACCAGAGUGUAUUACUAGGUGUUAUAAGCUGCCUAAGGAUCAGGAUUACCAGAAGUGUAUUACUAGGUGCUAUAAGCUGCCUAAAGAUCACUGAAUCCUGAUUUUUCUAUAGGGUUGACACUAAAGGCAUUUAGAUUGGAUUCAAAACUUCAGUUUCACUAAUCCGCACUUCUUACUCAUAGUUCAAAUACAUUAUGACCACCGGUGUAUAUUUUGACAUUUUGUUUGACAAAACUUGGUAAUAAUUGGAUAGAAACUUAACAUAGUCUCAUGUUGUUACUUGAUAGGAAAAUAUUUCAAAACGACACAGGAAAAGUUUUGCAACAAAACUACAUCAGUGAAGUCAAUAGCGUUACAUCAGUCAGCAAAGUUACAUCAGUCAAGUCAGCAAGGUUACAUCAGUCAAGUCAGCAAGGUUACAUCAGUCAAGUCAGCAAGGUUACAUCAGUCAAGUCAAUAACGUUUCAUCAGUCAGGUCAAUGCAGACAUAUUGUCUUCAAUAGUUUCGUCAUGACUUUUCCAAAUGAAGGCUAGCACUGAAAGGUUCAAGAACUCAUUUGUUUCUGAAACACUGGAAUCUCUCCUCAACGUUGGACCGGAAAGGAAAAAAAUAUCUUUUGAAUUAUGUGUGUGUGUGUGUGUGUCUGUCUGUUAUGAGUGUUUUCCUUGUUGGAAUACUUUUCUUCAUUUCACUUCUAUUUAUAGCUUUUAUAGACAUUGCUUUGACAUGAUGUGCUAGCACUAUAACAUUCCAUCGUAUUUGAUCUCUACACUCAAUACUUACUGUUUCUCUCACCUUACAUCUCUAUUCUAUUCUGGUCAAUAGAUCAUUCAAUAGUCUACUGCAGCAGUUUGGUUUGCUUAGUAGUCUCUAACUCUGCUCGAGUAGUUACUUCAUAGAGUAUGUCUAUUUUAUUUAUUGCUCUCUCUCUCUCUCUCUCUCUCUCUCUCUAUCUAUCUAUCUUUCUCUUUAAUCUCUAUGUAAUCAAAACCUAGACAUGCCCAGUACUAAUCUGUUGAGGUCGUGUCCACCU